CUACGGGCGGCUGCAGUGGGGAAUUUUGCGCAAUGGGCGGAAGCCUGACGCAGCAACGCCGCGUGGAGGAUGAAGGCCUUCGGGUCGUAAACUCCUGUCAGGGGGGACGAAAGCCUUAACGGGUUUGACUGUACCCUCUGAGGAAGCCACGGCUAACUCCGUGCCAGCAGCCGCGGUAAUACGGAGGUGGCAAGCGUUGUUCGGAAUUAUUGGGCGUAAAGGGCGCGUAGGCGGCUUGGCAAGUCAGAUGUGAAAGCCCCGGGCUUAACUCGGGAAUUGCAUCUGAAACUGCUUGGCUUGAGUCCCGGAGGGGGUAGUGGAAUUCCCAGUGUAGCGGUGAAAUGCGUAGAUAUUGGGAGGAACACCUGCGGCGAAGGCGGCUACCUGGACGGUGACUGACGUUGAGGCGCGAAAGCUAGGGGAGCGAACGGGAUUAGAUACCCUUGUAGUC
rnacentral:rRNA from 1 species